rnacentral:rRNA from 1 species
ACUCAAAGGAAUUGACGGGGGCUCACACAAGCGGUGGAGCAUGUGGCUUAAUUCGAGGCUACGCGCAAAACCUUAUCCCGGGCUUGACAUGCACGGAUUAGCCGGCGGAAACGUCGGCGAGGCCGCAAGGUACAACGUGCACAGGUGCUGCAUGGCUGUCGUCAGCUCGUGCCGUGAGGUGUUGGGUUAAGUCCCCUAACGAGCGCAACCCCUGUGUCUAGUUGCCAUCAGGUCACGCUGGGCACUCUAGACAGACCGCCGGCGUCAAGCCGGAGGAAGGCGGGGAUGACGUCAAGUCCUCAUGGCCCUUAUGCCCGGGGCCGCACACGUGCUACAAUGGGCCGGACAGAGCGUCGCCACCGCGCAAGCGGGAGCUAAUCGCCCAAACCGGCCCCCAGUUCGGAUUGCGGGCUGCAACCCGCCCGCAUGAAGCCGGAAUCGCUAGUAAUCGCGGAUCAGCAUCGCCGCGGUGAAUGGGUUCCUGAGCCUUGUACACACCGCCCGU